UGGGGAAUUUUGCACAAUGGGCGGAAGCCUGAUGCAGCGACGCCGUGUGGGGGAUGAAGGCCUUCGGGUUGUAAACUCCUUUCGUCAGGGACGAAGUUUGUUUGACGGUACCUGGAUAAGAAGCACCGGCUAACUACGUGCCAGCAGCCGCGGUAAUACGUAGGGUGCGAGCGUUGUCCGGGUUUACUGGGCGUAAAGGGCUCGUAGGUGGUGUGUUGCGUCGUCUGUGUAAUCCAGGGGCUUAACUUUUGGUUGGCAGGCGAUACGGGCAUUGCUUGAGUGCUGUAGGGGAGACUGGAAUUCCUGGUGUAGCGGUGAAAUGCGCAGAUAUCAGGAGGGACGCCGAUGGCGAAGGCAGGUCUCUGGGCAGUUACUGACGCUGAGGAGCGAGCGCAUGGGUAGCGAACAGG
rnacentral:rRNA from 1 species